UGCGGCUGGAUCCCCUCCUUUUUAAGGAGACGAAGCACUCAACUUCGGUUGAGCCUUCGAUGGUCGAAGGAAGCAAUAGCUUCCGGGUCUCAGUUGAUCGCACAAAGUAAAUAUCGAGAACCAAAAGUUCUUUACAGCAUAUCCGACCAAUUUUCGGGGUCGUAGCUCAGUUGGUAGAGCAUCUGCUUUGCAAGCAGAGGGUCGCGAGUUCGAAUCUCGCCGGCUCCACCAAAUUGGCGCGAGCUCGCUAGGUCAUCGUCACUUUCUCCAAUCUUGGGCUCAUAGCUCAGUUGGUUAGAGCACGCGCUUGAUAAGCGCGGGGUCGAUGGUUCAAGUCCAUCUGGGCCCACCAUUUUGAGCUUUGGCUCAAUCUUCGGGAUGGGUCAGUGGACGAAAGCGGCGAUGUGUUGCAUAACAAUUUUGUUCUUUGAAAGUUCAGACAGACAGCAUGAUAUCUAAUUUUAGAAAUAAUGUAAGUGGGUAAGAUAAACGCCUAGAAUACUGCGCGUUUGCAUAAACCAGUUACAGCAGAUGAUGGAUGCCUUGGCGUCAUCAGGCGAUGAAGGGCGCAGCAAGCUGCGAUAAGCUUCGGGGAGCGGCAUACACGCUUUGAUCCGAAGAUUCCCGAAUGGGGAAACCCGG
rnacentral:misc_RNA from 1 species